ACGCCCUCAUAGUUUGUUAGUAACUAAGAACAGAGACCAUUUUCCUACCCAAACGUAGCAUAUACACGCACAUAUAUAUAUUCACACACCCUAUUGAUCUCGGUUUGUGACUGAGUUAAGCAUUUGGAUCUCUAGGGUUCUGAAUCAUAAAUCCUAGUGAAUUUAUACAAAUCGUCUGGAGAAAAUGCCUCUCAGAUUGGAAAUCAAGAGAAAACUUUCUAAAAGAUCAGAAAGGGUAAAAUCCGUUGAUCUGCAUCCGUCGGAGCCAUGGAUAUUGGCAAGUUUGUAUUCGGGAACUGUUGACAUAUGGAACUACCAGACCCAGACAGCGGUUACAUCUUUCGAAGUCACUGAACUACCAGUGAGGUCGGCCAAGUUCAUAGCUCGUAAGCAGUGGGUUGUUGCCGGUGCUGAUGACAUGUUUAUUCGUGUAUACAAUUACAAUACAAUGGAUAAGGUCACUGUGUUUGAAGCCCAUACAGAUUAUAUUAGGUGUGUGGCAGUUCAUCCUACUCUUCCAUAUGUACUGUCAUCAUCUGAUGACAUGCUUAUAAAGCUGUGGGAUUGGGAAAAGGGGUGGGCGUGCACUCAAAUAUUCGAGGGUCAUUCCCAUUACGUGAUGCAAGUGACAUUUAAUCCAAAAGACACCAACACAUUUGCUAGUGCAUCUCUAGAUCGCACUGUUAAGAUAUGGAACCUUGGCUCCCCUGACCCAAACUUCACAUUGGAUGCCCAUCUUAAAGGGGUAAAUUGUGUAGAUUAUUUCACAGGUGGCGAUAAACCAUACUUAAUUACUGGUUCUGAUGAUCAAACUGCUAAGGUGUGGGAUUAUCAAACAAAAAGUUGUGUCCAGACAUUAGAAGGUCAUACACACAAUGUUUCUGCUGCAUGUUUCCAUCCAGAACUUCCCAUCAUAAUUACAGGUUCUGAGGAUGGUACAGUUCGUAUAUGGCAUGCUACCACUUAUAGACUUGAAAAUACGUUGAAUUAUGGUCUCGAAAGAGUUUGGGCUAUUGGUUGCAUUAAAGGCUCAAGACGGGUUGUAAUUGGUUAUGAUGAAGGGACCAUCAUGGUGAAAAUCGGUCGAGAGGUACCUGUUGCUAGUAUGGAUAACGGUGGAAAAGUUAUAUGGGCUAAGCAUAAUGAAAUUCAGACUGUUAACAUUAAGAGUGUUGGAGCAGAUUAUGAGGUUGCUGAUGGAGAAAGACUGCCUUUGGCUGUUAAAGAAUUGGGCACUUGUGAUCUUUAUCCACAAAGCUUGAAGCACAAUCCCAAUGGUAGGUUCGUAGUUGUGUGUGGAGAUGGUGAACAUAUUAUAUACACAGCUUUGGCAUGGAGAAAUAGGUCAUUUGGUUCAGCAUUGGAAUUUGUUUGGUCAUCUGAUGGAGAAUAUGCUAUUAGAGAAAGUACAUCGAGGAUUAAGAUCUUCAGUAAAAAUUUUCAGGAGAAGAAAAGUAUCCGGCCUACAUUUUCCGCUGAGCGCAUAUAUGGGGGGACUUUGUUGGCAAUAUGCUCCAAUAAUUUUAUUUGUUUUUACGAUUGGGCUGAAUGCAGGUUGAUUCGGCGGAUUGAUGUUAAUGUUAAAAAUCUUUAUUGGGCUGAUAGCGGUGAUUUGGUUACCAUUGCCAGUGAUACGUCAUUCUAUGUACUUAAGUUCAAUCGAGAUGUAGUUUCUGCUCAUAUGGAUAGUGGGAGGUCAGUAGAUGAACAAGGUGUGGAAGAUUCUUUUGAGCUCCUUUACGAAAUAAACGAACGAGUCAAGACUGGAAUUUGGGUCGGUGAUUGCUUCAUUUACAACAACUCUUCAUGGAAGCUUAAUUACUGUGUAGGGGGUGAGGUAACAACAAUGUUCCAUUUUGAUCGGCCCAUGUAUCUGCUAGGGUAUCUUGCCAAUCAGAGUCGGGUAUAUCUCAUUGACAAAGAAUUCAAUGUCGUGGGAUAUACUCUGCUGCUGAGCUUGAUUGAGUACAAGACUCUCGUGAUGCGUGGUGAUCUCGAGAGGGCAAAUGAGAUCUUACCAUCAAUUCCAAAGGAGCAGAAGAAUAGUGUGGCUCGUUUCUUGGAAUCUCGGGGAAUGAUAGAAGAAGCAUUAGAAGUUGCUACAGAACCUGAUUACAGAUUUGAGCUAGCCAUACAACUGGGUAAACUAGAGAUUGCGAAGGAAAUUGCGACAGUAGCACAAAGCGAGUCUAAAUGGAAGCAAUUGGGUGAAUUAGCUAUGUCCACAGGAAUGUUGGAGAUGGCAGAGGAAUGUUUAAAGCAAGCAAAUGACUUGAGUGGUUUACUGCUACUAUAUUCUUCUCUGGGUGAUGCCAAUGGGAUAACUCAACUUGCAUCUCUUGCCAAAGAGCAUGGGAAGAACAAUGUUGCAUUCCUCUGUCUAUUUAUGUUGGGUAAAUUGGAGGACUGCCUUCAGCUGUUGGUUGACAGCAAUCGGAUACCUGAAGCAGCAUUGAUGGCUCGUUCUUAUCUUCCUAGUAAAGUGUCAGAAAUUGUGGCUCUUUGGAGGAAGGACCUCAAUAAGAUUAAUCAGAAAGCAGCCGAAUCUCUGGCUGACCCUGAAGAAUAUCCGAAUUUAUUUGAGGACUGGCAAAUUGCACUUGAUGUUGAAUCUAGAGUUGCUGAGACACUGAGCAAUUAUCCGCCGGCAGCUGAAUAUGUACAGCAUAUUGAUAGAUCAACAGCAAGCCUUGUGGAAACUUUUAGAAACAUGCAAAUGCACGGAGAAGAACCUCUGGAAAAUGGAAGCAUGGAUCAUGAGGUUGCAGAGCAGAAUGGAGAAGAGGCACAAGAGGUGGUGCAAGAUGACGCAGAGAUAGAGGGGCAUGAGGAGGGCCAAGAAGAGGCUGUUGUGGUGGAUGCUGAUUCAACAGAUGGUGCUGUAUUAGUUAACCCUCAUGAGGCUGAUGAAGAGUGGGGUACGAAUAAUGAAGGAAAACGGUCAGCCUAAAAGCGAUUGGUUGGGCCAGUGUGAAAUUCUAGUUUUUUUUGCUGUGCUUACACCACAUCACUAGGUCCACUCAGGACUGUUGGAACCUGUUGAUUGUGAGACUCCUUAAGGUGAUCCUGUGAUAGCGUGGUGCCAUUUUGUAGCGGAAGUAAUUUUCUCUUUGAACACAUUGUACUGUUUGAAACUACACCUUAUAGUUUAGUUCACUAUAGUUUUCAAUAUUCUUUGAUGCCAAUUUUAUCUAGAAAUAUAAUGUGGUACUGUGAAAUGUAUACAUCGUUGACGGUAGGAAUUACAAUUCUACAAAUUUUCACCCAUCCCAUCACAUAUUGUAUGUUCGAUUUCACCCAUCACAUAUUGUAUGUUCGACUUUGUUGAUCCAUUGGAUGAUGUUAAUUAUGUGCUCGAACUCAUUUUUGAUUUACUUGUGUAA